rnacentral:lncRNA from 1 species
AUUGGAUUCAAAAUUUAAUAAAAAGAUUCAUCAACAAACUUGAUGGAUUAAAGUGGCUCAAUAUUUUGGUAUUUGUAAAGAAUAAUUUUAUCCUUUAAUUCAAAUUAUAAGAUGGCCUUCAUUAAGAAUUGCUUGUAAUUGAUUAUAUAAAGUGAAAGAAACAAAGAAUAAGAACAAAAGAAGAAAAAAAUACAAAACAAGUGAAAUGAAUGAAACCAAGUAUCUAUACACCUUGAAA